rnacentral:rRNA from 1 species
GACGAACCGUGCGAACGUUGUUCGGAAUCACUGGGCUUAAAGGGCGCGUAGGCGGGCGAGCCAGUCCGGGGUGAAAGCCUCCGGCCCAACCGGAGAAGGGCCUUGGAUACUGCUCGUCUUGAGGGAGGUAGGGGCUUGUGGAACUUCCGGUGGAGCGGUGAAAUGCGUUGAUAUCGGAAGGAACGCCGGUGGCGAAAGCGACAAGCUGGCCCUCUUCUGACGCUGAGGCGCGAAAGCUAGGGGAGCAAACGGG